rnacentral:tRNA from 2 species
AAUGAAGUGCCUGAUAAAAGGAUUAUCUUGAUAGGAUAAAUUAUACAUUAAAAUAUGUCUUCAUUA